AGAAAUGUUAACCGAGGCUUGAGAUUUCCUGUAUAAGGCAAUGAGAAUAUAAACAGGGGGAAUACUACUAGUGCAGCUAACAAACGAGAAAAAACAUGAUCAAUAACAAGAGCAACAAAACAACAUUUGUUACGAGGUCAAUCAUUUAUCCAAGAAAUAGCACGUUGGUAGAUGCCAAGCUUCGAAACUUCUGAGAAUGGCUUUUCUCCUUGGCAAUUACAAUGACUUCCACAGAUGAAUUUCAAGCUUCAGUUGUUCAAAUCUCACUGUAGACAAUUGUUUCAACGUGCACAACAGAAUUGACCAGGUGCUGAACUAUAUCAAAUUGAAUCUGAAUUGUUCUAUGAAACUGUUAUGAGCUUUAAGCUCUGUUGCAAAUGCAGCAUAAUUCCUAUUCAAACCAUUAAUAUUUACCAAAUAUAUAUAUAUAUAUAU
rnacentral:misc_RNA from 1 species